rnacentral:misc_RNA from 1 species
AACAAGUAACAGAAACUUUUACGCUUUAGACCAAAAACUGCGAAAAUAUAUAAGAUUACUAACAUCUGCUGGAAAGACAGCAGCUUAAAUCAGAGUAAAUGUAAAAUUCAAGAAGCAAGGGUGCAUCCUUUCAGCAACUCAAAUUAGGGAUCACUAAUUCGAAAUCGUGCAAAUCAACAAAUAAAAGAAUCGAACCCAAAAUCAGGUGUUUCCAAAACCACAUACAAGCUCUUUAAACUCAUCCAAAGUAAGAUCCAACAAAAGCAUCGCAAUUCUCAGUUUCUCAAGGAUUGAGUAGAACUGAACUAACGAUCAAAACAAACUCAAUUAGCUUCAACUCUUAGAACCCACAACAAUAGAAAAACUAAAAGCAAUACAAAUAUUCCACAAAAUACAUGUUCCUAUCGAAAUAUGUAAAUAAAAGAAAGAA